rnacentral:misc_RNA from 1 species
GAUGAAGAACGUAGCGAAAUGCGAUACGUAAUGUGAAUUGCAGAAUUCAGUGAAUCAGCGAAUCUUUGAACGCAUAUUGCGCUCUCUGGUAUUCCGGAGAGCAUGCUUGUUUGAGUAUCAGUAAACACCUCAACUCCCCUUUCUUUUUUUGAAAUGGGAGCUGGACUUGAGUGAUCCCAACGCUUUUCUCACCGAAAAGUGGCGGGUUACUUGAAAUGCAGGUGCAGCUGGACUUUUCUCUGAGCUAAAAGCAUAUCUAUUUAGUCUGCCUAAAAAACAGAUUAUUACCUUUGCUGCAGCUAACAUAAAGGAGAUUAGUUCUUGUGCUGACUGAUGCAGGAUUCACAGAGACAGCUUCGGCUGGCCUUUGUAAACUCGAUCUCAAAUCAAGUAAGACUACCCGCUGAACUUAAGCAUAUCAACAAGCGGAGGA